rnacentral:rRNA from 1 species
GACGAACGCUGGCGGCGUGCUUAACACAUGCAAGUCGAACGGAAAGGCCCUGCUUUUGUGGGGUGCUCGAGUGGCGAACGGGUGAGUAACACGUGAGUAACCUGCCCUUGACUUUGGGAUAACUUCAGGAAACUGGGGCUAAUACCGGAUAGGAGCUCCUGCUGCAUGGUGGGGGUUGGAAAGUUUCGGCGGUUGGGGAUGGACUCGCGGCUUAUCAGCUUGUUGGUGGGGUAGUGGCUUACCAAGGCUUUGACGGGUAGCCGGCCUGAGAGGGUGACCGGCCACAUUGGGACUGAGAUACGGCCCAGACUCCUACGGGAGGCAGCAGUGGGGAAUAUUGCACAAUGGGCGGAAGCCUGAUGCAGCAACGCCGCGUGCGGGAUGACGGCCCUCGGGUUGUAAACCGCUUUCGCCUGUGACGAAGCGUGAGUGACGGUAAUGGGUAAAGAAGCACCGGCUAACUACGUGCCAGCAGCCGCGGUGAUACGUAGGGUGCGAGCGUUGUCCGGAUUUAUUGGGCGUAAAGGGCUCGUAGGUGGUUGAUCGCGUCGGAAGUGUAAUCUUGGGGCUUAACCCUGAGCGUGCUUUCGAUACGGGUUGACUUGAGGAAGGUAGGGGAGAAUGGAAUUCCUGGUGGAGCGGUGGAAUGCGCAGAUAUCAGGAGGAACACCAGUGGCGAAGGCGGUUCUCUGGGCCUUUCCUGACGCUGAGGAGCGAAAGCGUGGGGAGCGAACAGGCUUAGAUACCCUGGUAGUCCACGCUGUAAACGGUGGGUACUAGGUGUGGGGUCCAUUCCACGGGUUCCGUGCCGUAGCUAACGCUUUAAGUACCCCGCCUGGGGAGUACGGCCGCAAGGCUAAAACUCAAAGGAAUUGACGGGGCCCCGCACAAGCGGCGGAGCAUGCGGAUUAAUUCGAUGCAACGCGUAGAACCUUACCUGGGUUUGACAUGGAUCGGGAGCGCUCAGAGAUGGGUGUGCCUCUUUUGGGGUCGGUUCACAGGUGGUGCAUGGCUGUCGUCAGCUCGUGUCGUGAGAUGUUGGGUUAAGUCCCGCAACGAGCGCAACCCUUGUUCACUGUUGCCAGCACGUUAUGGUGGGGACUCAGUGGAGACCGCCGGGGUCAACUCGGAGGAAGGUGGGGAUGACGUCAAGUCAUCAUGCCCCUUAUGUCCAGGGCUUCACGCAUGCUACAAUGGCUGGUACAGAGAGUGGCGAGCCUGUGAGGGUGAGCGAAUCUCGGAAAGCCGGUCUCAGUUCGGAUUGGGGUCUGCAACUCGACCUCAUGAAGUCGGAGUCGCUAGUAAUCGCAGAUCAGCAACGCUGCGGUGAAUACGUUCCCGGGGCU